UCCAGCUAAACAUCGUCGCGCUAUAAUGA
rnacentral:sRNA from 1 species